UACGGGGGGAGCAAGCGUUGUUCGGAUUUACUGGGCGUAAAGGGCGCGUAGGCGGCCACCGCAAGUCACUUGUGAAAUCUCCGGGCUUAACCCGGAAAGGUCAACUGAUACUGCGGGGCUAGAGUGCAGAAGGGGCAACUGGAAUUCUCGGUGUAGCGGUGAAUGACGUAGAUAUCGAGAGGAACACCUGCGGCGAAGGCGGGUUGCUGGGCUGACACUGACGCUGAGGCGCGAAAGCCAGGGGAGCGAACGGG
rnacentral:rRNA from 1 species